CAUCAUGCUCACUUCGUCCUCCCACGCUCCUCCUCAGCAGAGAACCGUCACCCUCAUCCCUGGCCUUUCUUCCCUCCCAGUUGAGGACUCGGAGCUGCCGGACCUGAAGCUGGACACGAUCAAGAUGGGGGACGUGGAGACGGCGCUGUCGAGGACCAAACCGACGCAGAGCAACCACCAGCAGUACCUGGAGUGGCACGCCAAGUACGGGUCUGCGUAAGGCGUGGGCGUCGCUCCCGCAGCGCCCCUCUCUUCCGUCGUCAGCGCCGCCGACUCCGAAGCAGAGUCAAGGACUGUCCACCCUUCGCCUGCGUCUGGGACGGAGCUGGCGCGAAGGCUGAGUGGAAUGCAAAGUCUCGGGAAUCUCGGUGUAAACAGGACUGUUUUCAGAAUUCUUUUAAGGAGGAUCCAAAAUCUCCUCUUUAAGAAGAUGAAAAAAGAAACUGAAGUACAGAGAUAAGAUCAUAAGGACAAGAAAGAAUUCGAAUAAAAAUGCAAAUCAAAGUCUGAGGUAAAGAGGGCUUCCGAAACGCUCAUGUGAAGGAUCCGAAAGCUUCUCUUUAAGAAGCUGGAAAAAAAGAACCGCAAUAUAGAGAAAACAAGAUAAAGAAAAACGAAAAGAAAUGAGAACAAGGAUAAAAAAAUAAGGAACAAAAAGUGCUGAAACUGUUUUUUCACCCCUUUCUUGAUCCUGAGCGAACGGACAGCGCCGCCCAACGGACUUCCCAUCGGCGCUCAGUCUUGUGGGCGUAACCGAGACGAAAUCUAUUUUAUUUCCCAAGAGAUUAGUGCGCUUGAUGGGAAGACGCGUGUAAUCAUAUAGAUCUUUACUGUAUGUUGCAAAGUGUGGAUGAAGACUUUUGUAUUUGUAAACAUUUAGAAUAGGGGCAUCUUUGUGUAGAGAAUGUUUGGGACUAUACGUACUGGCGGAAAUUUCGAGUCAACUUUUGAUGUGUAAAUAGGAAUCCAGGCCAGUUUAGUUAAUCGACGUUAGGUGAAAGCUUUCUAAAAUAGAAAGCUCUUUUCUUAAGUUAAUUAAGGACGAACGUUCAGGUUCUACAGUCCUGUUGUCCAGUGUCGGGUCCUUGUACUCGAAAUGCCAUGAAAUGGAAUCUCCUUUUUCUCUAACAUUUUUUGUAAAUAAGAUCUUGAAAUAAAUAACUGUAAAAUGUU